AUCGCUUCUCGGCCUUUUGGCUAAGAUCAAGUGUAGACUAUAAUCUCAUUGAAAAUUAAUUCCACCCUAAAAUUUGUGAAUGUAGACAUCCUAGUAUUAUUUCUGACCUUAGUGGAAAAGCUUUUAGUUUUUCCCUUUGAGGGUGAUGU
ensembl:snRNA U2 U2 spliceosomal RNA